UACGAAGGGGGCUAGCGUUGUUCGGAAUCACUGGGCGUAAAGCGCACGUAGGCGGGAUCUUUUAAGUCAGGGGUGAAAUCCUGGGAGCUCAACUCCAGAACUGCCUUUGAUACUGAAGAUCUUGAGUUCGGGAGAGGUGAGUGGAACUGCGAGUGUAGAGGUGAAAUUCGUAGAUAUUCGCAAGAACACCAGUGGCGAAGGCGGCUCACUGGCCCGAUACUGACGCUGAGGCACGAAAGCGUGGGGAGCAAAC
rnacentral:rRNA from 1 species